CAAUAGCGUAUAUUUAAGUUGUUGCAGUUAAAAAGCUCGUAGUUGGAUUUCUGGUGGGAGCGAUCGGUCUGGCGCUUAGCGCGAGUACUUGCAUCGUCUCCGUCCAUCCUUGGGGAGAGUCUGUCUGGCAUUAGGUUGUCGGGCAGAGGAUCCUCAUCGUUUACUGUGAAAAAAUUAGAGUGUUCAAAGCAGGCUUAUGCCGUUGAAUAUAUUAGCAUGGAAUAAUAAGAUAGGACUUUGGUACUAUUUUGUUGGUUUGCGCACCAAAGUAAUGAUUAAUAGGGACAGUUGGGGGUAUUCGUAUUCCGUUGUCAGAGGUGAAAUUCUUGGAUUUACGGAAGACGAACUACUGCGAAAGCAUUUACCAAGGAUGUUUUCAUUAA
rnacentral:rRNA from 1 species